rnacentral:snRNA from 1 species
GAAACUGGAUUUAUCUGGCUGGGACAUCCAUCAAGCUACUGAUCGGCAAAGUUGAUCAGUUUUAUCUGGCUGAAUAAACUGGUUUCCCUUUCAUCCCUCAGGGCUACACGUGCAUCUUUCCUGAAAUUGUAUGCUGGACUGAAGAAGACCACCUUCCCCAAAUAGAAACCAACCAUAGACUGUUCUAUGAUCAAAGGUAUACAAGUAGCUACAACUACUGCUAGAAUCUCUAGAUGACCUUUCAAUGUAGUUGUGAAUCUAAAAUUGCUCCCAAAUAAAGAUUUUAGUAAGAAACAAAGUUUUUU